AAAUGGUGCAUUUCCCACACAGGUGGGAAGCAAGAACCCUCCUCCCCUAACUCGGCCUUUACCUUGGAAUCUGAGACCCUGGCCCUGCAGGAUGAAGGAGAGUCAGGACAGCAGCCUCCCUCGGGGUCGGCGCCGUGACCCCCGCCGCCCGCACCCCCGUCUGCUCUGCAGGCUCCGGAUCCUCCUCCCCGGGCCAGAGCUAGGAUGCGUGUGAUGGCUUGUGGGGUGCCCCGUGCCCCCCGCACCCGCCUGCCCGGGUCUGUGGCACGGCCGUGCAGCCCCGACCCGUUUCUGAACUUCCGUGGGCCUCUGCUUCCUUGUAAACAGGGACAGUCGCAAGCUCGUCCGGGGGCCCCGCUCAUCACGCAGCCUCACAGUGAGGCCACCCGCAGCCGCACCACCGCCCACUGCCCAUGGGCCUUCCUCAGGCCGUCCCCAAAUCUGACGACUUCGUACACUGCUCUUCCCCAGGGAAGGGGCCGUAGCUCAGGACGCUGCACCUGGGUCACGUUCGAAUGCACCCCCGUGCUGAUUUCCGGCCAGCCAGCAGCCCUUCCUCGGGGGGUCGGGGCUCAGGAAGGCUCGGGCUCGGCUCCGAUCCUGCUGACUGGGAGCGUGAUGCCAAGGCCUCCUGGUUAUGCAAAUGUGAACGAUGCGAUCGAUCGAGUCUAUGGAUCCGAGGUUUAGUCUAAUCCAGUAGCGACUCGAGAUCGAAGUGCAUUUGCGAGACGGAGCUCCGCGCUUGACAAGCGUUCAGUUCACACACAAAUCACACACCGGUGAUCCCUCGAGGUCAGAGGGAGAACAACACACACACCGUGUACGAUAACAAGAGGGGGUCGCUUUCAUGGAACCAGACCCUGGGCUCAACGGAUUGCUGCGGAUUACCCCACUUAAUCCCCGUGCAGACCUACCAGGUAGGGGCCUUGAAUGCCAGGCCGAGGAUCCCACGGUUUGUUGACCGACAAGGAGAUCUCUGGACAUGUCACAUAUGCAGACAAAUACCCUCAUCGGUGACAAGCUGACAUCCUGCGGGCAUCUCAUGUCAGUAAAGGGCCAGUGAUCAAUGUGUGACCCGAAGAAUAAGCUUUAUUUUCCUCCUACUUCCACUGCCUGUUUGUUCUAAAAGUUUAUGAGUGUAAUAAAUGUCCAGUAAAAUCUUUGACCUUGUACGUAGUCAUAAAUUUACAGAUAAAAGUGAACCGUACCGAGGGGAAGCACUGCCGUGAAUUCCCAGGUAGCUGUCACUGCUUCUACGUCUCUAAAUACUCAAGCAAAAACCUGCAUCUUAAGCAGCAUCUAUAACGAGCAUAGAACUUUCCUUCCUAAAAGAAUAGUACCAGACUCUCCCCUCCUCAUUAUGUAUUCUUGGGUCACCGAUUGAAUCAGUUGGCUACGUGUGUGAGUUAUUUCUGGGCUCCCCGUGCUGUUCUCUUGGUUCUGUGUGUCUGUCUUCGUGCCAGGACCGCACUGUCUUGGUCUCUCCAACAGAUGGUCCUGGGAAAGCUGGACGUCCACAGGCAGAAGAAUGAAAUUGGACACUUACAUUGCAUCACGCACACAAAAAUCAACUCAGAGUGCAUUAAAGACAAACAUAAGACCUGAAACCGUAAGGCUCCGGGGAGAAAAUACACGGGGAAAGCUUGUUGGCAUUGAUCUCGGCACUCAUUUGACCAAUUUGACACCAAGGCCACGGGCGGCGGAAGCAAAAAUAAACCAGCAGGACCGCGUGGGACUGAGGAGCUGAUGACAACGAAGGAAAGCAGCAACGAAUGCAAAGGCAGCCUGUGGGCUAGGACAGAAUAGUCCCAAGCCAGAUACGCGAUACGGGGCUAAUACCCACAUUAUAUAAAGAACUCUUACGAAGAAUUCCUGAUGGAUGACAAGAGGAAUUAUAUAAAGAACCCUAAAAAUAAAAAAUAGGCCGAGGAUAUGAAUAGAUCUUUCUCCAAGGAAAUACAAACGGUCAGCGGAUGUGCAAGAAGGAGUUCAACGUCCCUCAUCGUCAGGGAGACACAAGUCAAAACCACAAGGAGAGAUCACCUCACACCUGUUAGGGUGGCGAGAAUCCUUAAAAAAAACAAAAACAAAAGUAAGUGUUGGGGAAGAUGCAGAGAAAUCAGAACUCUCCGAUUUCACCCUCGGCAUGUCAAGUGGUGCCGCCGUAGUGGGAAAGUGUGCAAGUGCCUCACAAAAUUAAAAAUAGAAUUACCUCAAGACCCGGCGAUCCCACUUCUGGAUAAACAUCCGACAUCAUGGAAAUCAGGUUUUCGAAGAGAUGUGCCCACCGCUGGGCUGCCUGCAGCGUUACCCCGGCAGCCAAGGUGGGGCGGCCACCGGAGGUCUGCCCGCCGCGAACGAGAGCAUUGCACGCACACGCGCACGCACACGCACACGGCCGAAUGCGAGCGACCUUUGGAAAGGAGGAGAGCCCGCACCGGGGGACAACACGGUUCAACUGAGGACACGGUGUGAGGCCAAACAAACCAGAGCACCAGGUGAUUCCACCUACGGGUGGAAUCCCUGCCAGCAGAGCACAGAGCCCUGGGGCGGCGGAGGGGGACGGUACCCACAGGUGGCGCAGUCCCCGGUACGGGCCAGGAGGCCCCGGGCUCUGCCUACCGACCGUGCGGUGGCCGUGUGUCCCGCUCCGACGUCGAGCGCCAUCAGGGAAGGCAGCACGGGGCUCUCGGGCCACAGGCCAAGCACGUCUCAGGCCGAGCAGACGGGGCGGUGUGUCCAGGCCCCGAGUCUUGUCCGCGUGGCCACGCCAUCAGCAGCCGGCGGGUCGUCAACGGAUGGAAGGCUGCUCAGAUUUCGGGUUGAGGGAGGCCCCACGAUGUGAACACCCCCGCGUUUACCCCCCUCCUCUACACGUGACGUGAACUAUGAAGUCAGCACCGACUCAAUUCAUCUUUCCGAAGCGGUUCCUAACGACGACAAGCCAACGGCACUUCGCCCCCGGAGAAGCACGGAGGAAAGGAAGGUGCAGAGAUGGAGCCGUGUGGACAGAAUGCACUUCUGCAGAACUGUCUGCCGGUCGUAACUAAAUCUACGCGGCAGCCGCUUGGCCGACGCUGGUGAGGACGUGC